CCAACUGGAUAAUUAUAGAAAUAAUGAAGACUGUGGUCAUUUCUGGUCAGCCCAUCAGUAUUAAUGGAAUGAUGCACCAUGCCACCUAGACAGAAUGGGAUACAUCUGUGAGUGUUCACAUGGAUCGAACUGUCGUCCGUUCAAUGGAUGAGAGAAACAAGUAACCAUUGGAAGAUAUAUUAUAUUGUUUGUGUUAUUAAAACAAUCCAAACUAAA